GUAGGCACCAAAAACCCAAUAUCUCCAUUGUGUAAUGAAAUGAGGAAAAAAAGUUCAGGGACGCCAAAACCAUUCUCCCAUCUUCCACUACCUUUGGUCUGACUUUGUAUAUCACGUCCUAAAAUCUGUCUCCAUCUCCGACAGUGGUGCAGUCGUACAGAUCCGACAACAGUAUAGAUCCGACAAUAAAGUCCGAUCUCCAUCUCCAACAAUCCCUUGACAAGUCCGAUCAUCUUUUGUAGGUAUCACUUCGUUUUACUUGUAUUUUAUCUUACUUGGUUUUCACUUGUUUUUAUCUUAAGAGAUGAUUCAGUAAACACACAAACCAUUUACGCACUCUUUGGAGAAAAAAUAUGAUGAGAAAAGUUAAUAAUUGACAACCAAAAAAAUAUUAUUAAAUAUGGUUUCAGAGAAAAUGGAUGAAAAAUUUUUAACUGGGUGCACGUGAACUAUCAUAAGAAUAAUAAUAAUGCGAGACAACCCAAGUACAAACUGCAUGUGAACUAUCAUAUAAAGUAAAUGCCAUUUUUUGAUCAAUUCCAGCUAGUAAUUUUCCAGAGGCCUUGAAUCUUUUGAAUUAUUAAAAUAAUGUGCAUACACACACACACACACACACACACACACACACAGAGAAUGAGAGUUUAAGUUUGUAGAAUAUAUAGAGGGAUCUUUGAGUUUCUUCAAUGACGAACAAAGUGGUGUCGAAAAUCCCGAACUAGAAUUUUCUUAAGAUUCUCCCUCUCUGUCAUGAUAACGUUGAGGACAAUGUUUUGUUCAUAUUUACUUUUUUGUUAUAUAGUAAUUGAUAUUUGUUAUGGUGCACAUGCAAGUACAAUCGAAUCAAAAAAAGGAAAAAAGUUCGAUUCCAAGGCAUAGUAAUAUCCCAGAUAGUGCAAUCGAGGUUCUGCCAACUCCUCAAUGACAAUAUUUAGAGCAUCAUAGUGGUCCCAUUUCAAUUGAAAUGAGUUUUAUGUCGCCAGUUCCAUAGGGCAAUUUUGUCACUGCCUGUAGAAGCUAAUUACUAUUCCAUGAAGAGUUUGUUUGAUGUCAUAGAUUCAUGUUUAAUAUUAGACUUAACAUGUAUUAGUGCAGAUGAAACUAUAUGAGCAUGUUUGUGCAUGGAACAAGGUGUUGAAUUAUUCACUUUCUAGAGAGGCAAACUCUAUGCAUAUUGAAUUAUUCACUUUAUUAUUGCCUUCUUUGCCUUCUUUGUGAUUGAACUAUGGCUAUCCAUUUUUGUUGACAGGAGUUAUCUUCAUUAAAUUGUGAUAAAGUCCUUGUUAGUUGUGGUAUGGCAAUUCUGUCGACACUUAGUCAAAGAGUGCUUUUUUUUAGGAUGGAUUCCACUGUGUACAAGAAGUUUAAGCCAACUAAAAUGAAGUUUUAGAUG
rnacentral:lncRNA from 1 species